rnacentral:rRNA from 1 species
AACGAACGCUGGCGGCAUGCCUAACACAUGCAAGUCGAACGAGAACUUCGGGUCUAGUGGCGCACGGGUGCGUAACGCGUGGGAACCUGCCCUUAGGUUCGGAAUAACUCCCCGAAAGGGGUGCUAAUACCGGGUAAUAUCUCCGGACAAAAGAUUUAUCGCCUUUGGAUGGGCCCGCGUUGGAUUAGCUAGUUGGUAGGGUAAAAGCCUACCAAGGCGACGAUCCAUAGCUGGUCUGAGAGGAUGAUCAGCCACACUGGGACUGAGACACGGCCCAGACUCCUACGGGAGGCAGCAGUGGGGAAUAUUGGACAAUGGGCGAAAGGCUGAUCCAGCAAUGCCGCGUGAGUGAUGAAGGCCUUAGGGUUGUAAAGCUCUUUUACCCGGGAUGAUAAUGACAGUACCGUGAGAAUAAGCUCCGGCUAACUCCGUG